rnacentral:piRNA from 1 species
UGGAAAGCGUUGUCUUUGCCAGUUCUGGGGU